AUUAACAUCACUUAUUAAUCAUCUAUGAACACAUAGUCAUGUUUUGUAAAUGAUUAGUUUACCAUUAGCUAAUUACUUUUAUUACAUGGCUCUGUGGGUACUUGAUUCUGAUUGGUCAGUUGCGACAUUCCGAUGCAUGUUAUCCCUGGAUAAAAACCUGUAAAAUGUAAUAACACAGGCUCAUCCGGGUAACAGUAGUUGGUGCUGUACUCUUGCUUUAACUAUUUUUUUUUUAUUGGUGGAAGCUGUGCAUUUGUUUAGCUAAUAAAUUAUAAAAACUGUGUACAACAGUUGUGUACAAUUGUUUAAUUAUCUCAUCCUGGUUAGGGUUGGCCUGAUUGACGAUGCCAUCGUUCAUCGCCGAUGGCUGAUAGACAUCACGAUGCUGCGCCGGCAAACAGCGUCAUCAGCUCCAGUAUCUCGCCCGUGCAUCUGUUGUCAUGCGACAGAGAAGUCACGUUCUAUAGACAGUUUCUAUAGACAGUUGUGAACGUGCUGACAGCUGGUUGCCCAGGCUAUGGAUUAAAGGGCCAGCAGAGCUGCUGACGGCCCACCGCUGCUGUCAGACAACAUCUCCAAGAUGCUAUAAACUGCAGGACCAGUAUUUACAAUCUUGAACAUACACAACUGUAUCAUAAGUUUGGGAAGGAUGUCAAUCCCAAGGUUUCUAGAGAUUACACCAGCUCCAGACUGAAUCCAAACUCACUUUUGAAGACUUCAGAUGACACCAACGCUCAGAAAGACUACAGACGACAACUGUACAUGAACACACAAAACAUUGGACACACAAAACAAAUAUUAACCUUAUUUUGCCUAUAAGGGUAAAUUUGAUGAUUUUCAAACUGCUUUAUUGUAACGUCUCUUAUAUCUGUAAAUGAACAAUAU